UUGACCUCGAUCACGGAGUCAGCC
rnacentral:rRNA from 1 species